AUGGAAUGGAGAUGGAUUAUCCUCUUGCUAGUGGCAACAGCUACAGGUGACCAUUUUCAAGUCCAGCUGCAGCAGUCUGGGGCUGAGCUGGUAAGGCCUGUGACCUCAGUGAAGUUGUCCAGCAAGGCUUCAGACUGCACUUUUACCAGCUACUAUAUUAACUGGAUGAAGCAAAGGACUGGAGAGGGCCUGGAGUGGACUGGACAUAUUUAUCCUGGAAAUGGUGGAACUGACUACAAUCAGAAGUUCCAGGGCAAGGCCACACUGACGGCAGACAAAUCCUCCAGCACAGUCUAUGUGGAGAUCAGCAGCCUGACAUAUGAUGAGUCAGCAGUCUAUUACUAUGCGAGACACAGUAUUGCAACCACAUUCUGA